UAUAUUGCUAUUAUAGAGAAAGGUGAAGCAAGGGUAAUAUGGUAAAUUCACAGUAUCAAAUAUCUUACUCUAGAGCCCUCCAAUUCAUCAUCCUCGUUCCAAAUAAACUACAGAUGUACGCCUUCAAUCUUUUUCCCAAAAACACUUAACAAAAAUCCUCUCUUUCCACUACUGAAUAACAAUCCACUUCUUUGUAAGUCUAGGAUCUUGAUUUCUUGCUUCAAGCAUACAUUUCUGGAAGUUUCUUACUUGUUCAAUGUACUCUAUAUGAAAUUUAGAGGAAUUGAUUUCUGGAGCUGCUAAAAAGUUGAAGAUUUUAAAUACUUAGUUGGUAGGGUGCUGGUUAUUUGGAGCAAUUUUAUAGAGUGGGGGUAUAGCAAUUGAUGGUUAAAAUUGGAUUAAGAUUGAAAGCUUUAGCAGGAUAUGCAGACGGGCUGAUUGGUUUUCUUGUUUUAGCUUUUUCCCUUUUCGCCUCCGCUGAGCAAAUUCCAAAUGGAAUAAGUAAUGACUUUGAAUUAGGCUCCUUUUUUAAGCUAUUCAAUUUUCUUCUUCCGCAGGGGAAAAUGCAUUACCAACAUUUUUGGCUUGAAUUGGAAUUUGGGUAGAGAGUAAUUAUUGGUUCAGUGAUUGGAUUCUUUGCUGGGGGGGUAUCUUUGUUCCGAUGCUUACUUUGAUCAUUGGGUUUGAUCCAAAGACAUCAACUGCAAUAUCAAAAUGUAAGAAUCUAUUUGUGACAUUAAAUAUUCAUAAUUUUCAUGCUUGUCUUGUUUGUAUGCUGAUUUGUGAUCGAAGCGUGUUUUUUUUAAGUUGAGGGACUUCUUGUAAGAUAUAACUUCCAAGUGUAUGCUAGAUGGUUUAUUGUGUUAAUACUUCUUGCUUCACUAAAGCUAUCACAACGCUUAGUUGUGUCCUUUUAGAAGGGGCAUAUAAUAGGAAAAAAAUGGGAAAUAAUUUUUUGAGUUUGGUCCAUGCUCCACACUAUCUUUGAGGAUUCUGUUUUCUUUUCAAGGCAUGAUAACUGGUGCAGCAGGGGCAAAUGUCUAUUACAACCUCAAGCUAAGGCAUCCAAUACUUGAUCUGCCCAUCAUUGAUUAUGAUCUAGCACUUCUUUUACAACCAAUGCUAUCGCUAGGGAUCAGUAUUGGAGUUGUCUUAACAUUCUUUUUGCUGAGUGAAUGGUUACAGUUUUAUUGAUCAUUCUUUUCAUAAGUAAUGAUGAUUCACCUGUGAUUCUACCCAUAUUAUCCAAACAUGUACUGGGUUGCGAUUUCAAAUAUCGGAUCAGUUCCCAGGGGCCUCACACAGGUUUGACACACCCUUCCGUUUUCAAAUUUCAUCACUUUCGGAUGAUUGCUUCAACUCGAGAUUGAACAGAUUAGAGAUUAACUUCUGUUGAUGAACAUGCUAAUCACUUUAGGUGUAGUUUAUGCCAGUAAUUUGUUUUAAUUAGUGGUAAGAUGGAGACUUUGAUAAAGUAAAGUUUUUUUUCGAUUAGUAAUAUUCAACAGAUCAUGUAAGCUUUUCUGAACCGGUCAAGCAGGCUACUGAAAAUCGGCUAUCUCAACAAAAUUUUCAAUGAUGGUAGAUUCAUUGGUUACCCUCCUUCUGCAAUGGCUUCUACCACAAUGUCACAUGUUUGUUCUUGAUAGGUUACAGCCUUGCAUUGGACAAAGUGGAAGAAUGUUCUAGACUAAUACAAGAUUUGGCUUGCAACAUUGGUUUUCACCAUUCAAAUAAAAGGAAGUUUGGGACAUUGCCAGGGAGUCCAACAGGAGUAAUGGAUGUAUUAUUAGCUCAGAUUACUCCAAUGGAUCAUGGUCGGUGGCUACAUCAUCAGUUACUUUCUCAACACAGCCUUUGUCCAAAAAGACUAAGAAGUCGAGAGAAUGACCAAGUCCAACUAGCAAGAAUAUUGUUGACACCUGGUGCUAUCAGAUCAGGUAUAGGUAUAUCUGGUGUGAUCCGAUUUGGCCCUCUAGAACUAAAAGUUGCAACAACUGCGAUGGUUGAACACCCAACUUGGUAUCUGCAAAUGCACUAAUGGCAGUUGGAUUGCUGUUAAAGCUAUGUACUGUUUGAUCAAGUCGCCAGCAGUUUUACCAACUGUAGUUGUAGGUAUGAGAUAUGCAUCAGCAACCAACUCAUCUCCAUAACUUUCGGUGUUUGCCAGAAUCAUCUACACAACUCCCUCAAUUUAUUCUAGAAGAGGAGAUAUCAUCCUUUUGUUGUGCGGACUGUAACAUCAUAUGCACUCAAACUCGUCGUACAUCUGCAAUAUCAGUUGUCGCUCGAAUAUGCUCUGAAAAAAGGAGAGAAUCUCGGUGAUAGUGUUGGAUACCAGAUCCGACUGGAAUCAAAGCGCUUUGCUUAGACACGGUUACUAUUUUGCACAACUGGAGUGUUACUUCGGCAGCUGGUAUUAGUCUGUUGAACUCUCUUUUGCCAAAACUUGUGUAGAAUAGCCAACAAUCACUAUCAUAUGUAAAUAUGAGAAUCCAGUAGUAUAUUUUUUCCAUGAUUGUAUAAAACAUACAUUUGAAAUCUUUUUCAUCAACUGAUCUAAUCAAAUGGGAUAGUCUCUUGCUGUUA